AUCACCUAUCAUAGCUGGAAGAGGAGUUCUUCUACUUCUAUUGUUGCUUCUACUACUACUACACCUCCUCUGACACCUCCUCCCCCACCUGCUAUUGCUACACCUCCUGUGGCAUCUCCUCCCACACCCACUGCUGCCAUUCCUCAUGUAGCACCUGCUCUCUUACCUGAUGAUGCCCCCGUUUGCUUAGCCGUCUGCUGCUUCCACAUCUACUCCCCAACUUGCUGGCGGCAUACCCCUUGAACGUGGCCCGUCAACUAUUGACUCCCCGAGGAUACAAUUACUGUCAAAGGGGGACUUAUUCAUUCCCCACAAACUUCCCGUUACCUGCAUCACAUAGAUUAUUAAGAGCAGGUAUGAUGAGCCUUAUCUGCCAUAGAAGCAUAUACAUAUAGCCGCUUGGGACUUGUGGUUCAGAGAGUUUGAGGUCCUUCACAUAACUCCCAUAGCACCACCAACAAAUCAGUUGAAUCAUCGAGAUUCAAGGCAGACAUAACCUUGUCGACAUGUUCACGACAGUCCGUCGGAGGGGCGAGUGGUCUGCUUGGAUUGGUGAGGUGCUCUUGGGUCAAUUGACCGUAGCUUGGGCCUCUCCUGGUUAUGAGAUGAAGAGGCAUAUGAAUCGGGCGAACAAGGCGAUAGAGUGGGCCAAAGGAGCUGAGUUUCAUAUUGGCGAAUCGGUCCCCAUACGAAGCACUACAGGAGGCUGGCCAAGGAGUUGAGUCAUGCUCCCUCGAUGGUGGAACUGCAUGUUCGAUCUCAUCGGCAUCCGAGGACUGUGCAUUGGGUUUCAGAGCAUUCCCGACGGGUUGCUGUCCAAACUUCGACCAGCAGCAGUAGUAGUCAGUCUGCCACUGCGCAGUUCGAGUAUGAGCUUUGGGCCUAGACGAUAAGGAGGAAGAAGGGAAGGGUGAAGGGAAUAAUCUUCGACACCGAGCUCUCCCGUGGUUCCAUUCUUAGCUCCCCUAGCUCCUCAUAGCCAGAUUAGGAGGCUCUUGCCAGGCAGGUGGUUGCAAUAAAUGAAGUAAUAUGCCAGUUGCGCGCGUAGAUGCUUGAAGGCUAACAUAGAGUCGAGGAUUCUAUAGCUCAUAUGACGGAGAUCUUAGCAGAUAGCCGGAACAAGUAACCGAUGAUAUCGUGUGGUAGGAGGAGGAGGAUGGAGAUAAAUAGUUUUUUUUUUAUGUUUUC